AGAAAACGAAGGGGUUCGUCCCCUUUAGUUCAUCCCCUUUAGGGGAACUAAAGGGGAUGAACCAAAGGGGAAGAAGUCCCCUUUAGUUCCCCUAAAGGGGUGAAAACGAAGGGGAAGAAGAAGGGGGUUCAUCUUCUUCGUUAUCACCAAAGGGGAAGACGAAGGGGUGUUCCUCCCCGAAGGGGAACUUCUUCAUCCCCUUUAGGGGAACUAAAGAAGACGGAGUCCCCUAAAGGGGAAGAAGGGGUGUUCCCCUUCUUCCCCUAAAGAAGACGGAGUCCCCUAAAGGGGAAGAAGGGGUUCCCCUUUGGGGAAGAAAACGAAGGGGUUCCCCUUUGGGGAAGAAAACGAAGGGGAAGAACCAAAGGGGUGUUCCUCCCCGAAGGGGAACUUCUUCAUCCCCUUUAGGGGAACUAAAGAAGACGGAGUCCCCUAAAGGGGAAGAAGGGGUUCCCCUAAAGGGGAAGAACUCCCCUACGGUUCCCCUUUAGGGGAUGAAGAAGNGGGUGUUCCCCUUCUUCCCCUAAAGGGGACGGAGACUUUGGUUCCCCUUUGGGGAAGAAGAAGAAGAGCACUAAAGUUCAUCCCCGAAGGGGAACAUCCCCUAAAGU
rnacentral:lncRNA from 1 species